UUUUUAGAGAGUUUGAUCCUGGCUCAGGACGAACGCUGGCGGCGUGCCUAACACAUGCAAGUCGAACGAAGUUACUUUUUUAGAUCCCUUCGGGGUGACGAAAUUUUAACUUAGUGGCGGACGGGUGAGUAACGCGUGAGUAACCUGCCCUUCAGAGGGGGACAACAGUUGGAAACGACUGCUAAUACCGCAUAACGUAUUUUGGAGGCAUCUUCGAGAUACCAAAGGAGCAAUCCGCUGAAGGAUGGACUCGCGUCCGAUUAGAUAGUUGGUGGGGUAACGGCCUACCAAGUCGACGAUCGGUAGCCGGACUGAGAGGUUGAUCGGCCACAUUGGGACUGAGACACGGCCCAGACUCCUACGGGAGGCAGCAGUG
rnacentral:rRNA from 1 species